ACGAACGCUGGCGGCAGGCCUAACACAUGCAAGUCGAGCGGACCCUUCGGGGUUAGCGGCGGACGGGUGAGUAACGCGUGGGAAUAUGCCCUUCUCUACGGAAUAGUCCUGGGAAACUGGGGGUAAUACCGUAUACGCCCUUUGGGGGAAAGAUUUAUCGGGGAAGGAUUAGCCCGCGUUGGAUUAGGUAGUUGGUGGGGUAAUGGCCUACCAAGCCGACGAUCCAUAGCUGGUUUGAGAGGAUGAUCAGCCACACUGGGACUGAGACACGGCCCAGACUCCUACGGGAGGCAGCAGUGGGGAAUCUUAGACAAUGGGGGCAACCCUGAUCUAGCCAUGCCGCGUGAGUGAUGAAGGCCUUAGGGUUGUAAAGCCCUUUCAGCUGGGAAGAUAAUGACGGUACCAGCAGAAGAAGCCCCGGCUAACUCCGUG
rnacentral:rRNA from 1 species